rnacentral:rRNA from 1 species
UACAGAGGUCCCAAGCGUUGUUCGGAUUCACUGGGCGUAAAGAGCUCGUAGGCGGUCUGUCGCGUCGGCUGUGAAAACCCGAGGCUCAACCUCGGGCCUGCAGUCGAUACGGGCAGAUUAGAGUGCUGUAGGGGAGACUGGAAUUCCUGGUGUAGCGGUGAAAUGCGCAGAUAUCAGGAGGAACACCGGUGGCGAAGGCGGGUCUCUGGGCAGUAACUGACGCUGAGGAGCGAAAGCGUGGGGAGCGAACAGG